UACGGGGGGGGCAAGCGUUGUUCGGAAUUACUGGGCGUAAAGGGCUCGUAGGCGGCCAACUAAGUCAGACGUGAAAUCCCCAGGCUCAACCUGGGAACUGCGUCUGAUACUGGAUGGCUUGAAUUCGGGAGAGGGAUGCAGAAUUCCAGGUGUAGCGGUGAAAUGCGUAGAUAUCUGGAGGAACACCGGUGGCGAAGGCGGCGUUCUGGACUGCAACUGACACUGAAAAACGAAAGCCAGGGGAGCAAACGGG
rnacentral:rRNA from 1 species